GGAAUAUUGGACAAUGGGCGCAAGCCUGAUCCAGCAAUGCCGCGUGUGUGAAGAAGGUCUUCGGAUCGUAAAGCACUUUCGACGGGGACGAUGAUGACGGUACCCGUAGAAGAAGCCCCGGCUAACUUCGUGCCAGCAGCCGCGGUAAUACGAAGGGGGCUAGCGUUACUCGGAAUUACUGGGCGUAAAGGGCGCGUAGGCGGCGCUCCAAGUUAGGCGUGAAAGUCCUGGGCUCAACCUGGGAACUGCGCUUGAUACUGGAGUGCUUGAGGAUGGAAGAGGGUCGUGGAAUUCCCAGUGUAGAGGUGAAAUUCGUAGAUAUUGGGAAGAACACCGGUGGCGAAGGCGGCGACCUGGUCCAUUACUGACGCUGAGGCGCGACAGCGUGGGGAGCAAACA
rnacentral:rRNA from 1 species